rnacentral:other from 1 species
GCGGCUCUGGAAUACUCGUUGCGCAUCCGUUUGGGUCCCUGACUACCUUAUUUAUCAAGAUGUCCCUGGUUUCAGUCGUGGUGAGCAAGCCCUCAACAAGGCAGAGGGAAGCCUGAAGCGUCUCACCGGGGUAUGUUGCGACACAGGUCAGUAAUCCAAUCUUCCUCGUAGCGGUAUUCCGGAGCAAAA